rnacentral:rRNA from 1 species
GCAAGUCGAGGGGUAACAUUGGUGCUUGCAUCAGAUGACGACCGGCGCACGGGUGCGUAACGCGUAUAGAACCUACCUUUUACAGAGGGAUAGCCUUUAGAAAUGAAGAUUAAUACCUCAUAGUAUUAUAACUUGGCAUCGAGUUUUAAUUAAAGAUUUAUCGGUAAAAGAUGGCUAUGCGUCCUAUUAGUUAGAUGGUAAGGUAACGGCUUACCAAGUCAGCGAUAGGUAGGGGGUCUGAGAGGAUGGUC